AUGGUCGAAGCCAUCAGGCGCGCGGCGCGAAGGAACGGCCAUGGCCCGCUCUCGAAGGCAGCACACGGGCCAGCGUCGCAGUCGACAAAUGGCCGUGACUGCGCCCCUCUCCGCCCGUUGCGGCCACGACGAGAAACAACACGGCAGCGCCGCCCUACGGCGCGGCUCGCUGUAGGCGGACUCCCCUCGAGGCUCCUGGCGGCACGGUCGCUAGAGAACGCCCUUAAACGCACGCGGCGCCGUCAGUUUUCUCUGGCCAGCAGUACGCGGCAGUUACGGGAAAAACUCACGAUUUGGAACCGCUCAAGAGAGAUGAGGAAUCUUAUCUCUUUGGCAUUUCUACAGUUUAGCCCUUGUACUUGUGUAUAUUCACAUAUACGUUCCUGCAAAUUGAGGGUACAGGAGUCCUCGGACUUGGUUUGUUCUCUAGUUUAG
rnacentral:rRNA from 1 species